rnacentral:rRNA from 1 species
CAAUAGCGUAUAUUUAAGUUGUUGCAGUUAAAAAGCUCGUAGUUGGAUUUCGGGUAGGAUUUGCCGGUCCGUCUUUGAGAUGUGUACUGGUAAGUCCUAUCUUCUUGUCGGGGACCAGCUCCUGAGCUUCACUGUCCGGGACUGGGAGCCGACGAAGUUACUUUGAGUAAAUUAGAGUGUUCAAAGCAAGCCUACGCUCUGAAUAUAUUAGCAUGGAAUAACACGAUAGGACUCUGGCUUAUCUUGUUGGUCUGUGAGACCAGAGUAAUGAUUAAGAGGGACAGUCGGGGACAUUCGUAUUUCAUUGUCAGAGGUGAAAUUCUUGGAUUUAUGAAAGACGAACUUCUGCGAAAGCAUUUGUCAAGGAUGUUUUCAUUAA